rnacentral:lncRNA from 1 species
AUUUGCUGUGCUUUGGGACAUGGUGGCAGUGUCCAGUUCGCACACUUGAAAUUGGGUUUGUUUGGGUUUUUUUGUUUUGGUUGGUUUCUUACAAGCCUGAUAACAGGGUCAGGGUGCACAAGGCAAGCUGAGAAUCAUCUGGGCACGUGUUUUCCCUUGGCACGAGGUCAGGUGUGUACCUGUUGUCCACGUUCAUGGGUUGAGCCUCUCCAUCGCCCGUCUGUCCUUGCAGCACUGCCCAGUGCUGGGCAGACGGGCUAGCCUGGGGCUGUUGCUGGAAGGGCACGGAUGUUGAGUUCUGCCAGGCAGACAGGUUUUGUUGGUAGCCUGAAUGACGAGUCCCCUGCAGGUCGUGUGGAUGAGCUGUGCUGUGUGACGGCGUUCCAACCUGGAUUUCCUGCCCGGCUCUGGCGGCCACGGAUGGCCGGCAUAGCCCGAGAGGUGAGGACACGACGUGUUCGAAGUGAGAGAGUCCAGCCAGGGACUGCAGCCAGAGAGAAAGGCGGGAGCUCGGUGUUCCUGAUUUACAGCUUCGCUGCAUCAAAGGAGGGAAACACAUUGAAGAGCUCAAAGCUUCUCGUAGGAACAGAGUUCUGCCAGCAGCUGCUGUGGCAGAGGAUUGGAUGCUUCCAUCAGGAGAAACCUAAACUCUUGGAAGUGCUUUUCCAGUUGCAAAGAAGGCAUUUGACUGUGGUGCCCAUCCCUGUUUUAUAGCAUGAGAAGAUGACAUGGGAGAUAGAUGUUUCUGAGAUAAGUCAGUGAGUUAAAAGUCAAAGUUCAGUUUUUAAGUUCUGUAAGACAGCAGUUAUUUCCGUCGAGAGUGAAGAGAAAUCUUUUCUUUAAAGUAAGUUCUGCCAUUUUAGUAAUGUUUUUUAAGAUUUUCUUUAUAACUGUUUGAAGUAGGCUGCUAGGUUGUUGAGGAACAGGAGAAAAAGUACAAUCAAAAAUAUUUUUAAGUAGUCAACAGUCCUUAAAAAGUAUGAAGUGUGAAACCUUGGAAAAAGUAAGCUUUAGUUCUGUUGCAGCUGUAAUGGAUUACAUGUUGUGACAUGGUCAGGCAUUCUAACAAGACUAUUUUAUAUAUAUUGAAAAGAAACCUAAGAAUCUGAUGCUAGAGAGUUUAUUGUGUGGUUUGUAAUAUGGGCGAGAAAAAGGUUAAUUUGUUGGCAUAGCAAUGAAGUUCUCACAGUCCAAAUGCUUAAAUAUUUAAUCUAGGAUUGGAGAAAACAUAAGGAAAAGUUACCUCUGAAACUACUGUCAGUACCUUCUACAGCACUUGUGUUGAGG